AACAGAUCAAAGAGCCUAGGCAAUAUUUCACUGGAAGAUUGGGGAAUGUUGAGUAUGUUGUAUGUCGAGAUGAUGGUGGAAAAAUACAUGCUUUUCACAAUGUUUGUCGCCAUCAUGCCUCUCUUCUUGCCUCAGGAAGUGGGAAAAGCUCUUGCUUUGUUUGUCCAUACCAUGGGUGGACAUAUGGAUUGGAUGGAGCACUUCUAAAGGCAACAGGAAUCAA